AAAUUGAAGAGUUUGAUCAUGGCUCAGAUUGAACGCUGGCGGCAGGCCUAACACAUGCAAGUCGAACGGUAACAGGAAGCAGCUUGCUGUUUCGCUGACGAGUGGCGGACGGGUGAGUAAUGUCUGGGAAACUGCCUGAUGGAGGGGGAUAACUACUGGAAACGGUAGCUAAUAC
rnacentral:rRNA from 1 species